rnacentral:lncRNA from 1 species
CACGCGUGGACUCUCCACGCUGAGGACAUGGCAGAACUCAUGAUCAUCGGCGGGAAGGACAUCCAGGGGUCCUUGCAGGAUAUAUUUAAAUUUACAAGAACUUCUCCUGUCCAAGACAGAGGAGGUCCAUUGUGGUGUCGCCCAUUCUAAUUCCAGAGAACCAGAGACAGCCCUUCCCAAGGGAUGUUGGCAAGGUAAGUCAGAGCAGUGACAGGUGGGAAAGCACACUUUCAAUUAAAGGACCCG